rfam:Picea glauca, whole genome shotgun sequence.
GGGUGCGAUCAUACCAAUGUUAAUGCACCAGAUCCUAUCAGAACUCCGCAGUUAAACGCGCUUGGGCUAGAGUAGUAUUGGGAUGGGUGACCUCCUGGGAAGUCCUAGUGUUGCACGCU